rnacentral:sRNA from 2 species
AAAAUCAGUCUGCCUAAUCCAUGCUUACCUUAAAAGUUUAUUCACAGGGUCAGCUAGGAGCGGAGGAACCAAGUAUGGGGCGUAUCUGCCAAAAAAGCUCAAGCUAAGGUGUGAAAAGUAAAGUUCCUAUCUUAGAACUAGAGUAUUGAAAGAAGGACAUCUCUCAGUCCUAGCCCGUCAGCUAACUUCGUAGGCAUUGGGAGGAGAUUGA